rnacentral:rRNA from 1 species
AAUGGGGGAAACCCUGACGCAGCAACGCCGCGUGAGUGAUGAAGGUCUUCGGAUUGUAAAACUCUGUCUUCAGGGACGAUAAUGACGGUACCUGAGGAGGAAGCCACGGCUAACUACGUGCCAGCAGCCGCGGUAAUACAUAGGUGGCAAGCGCUGUCCGGAUUUACUGGGCGUAAAGGGAGCGUAGGCGGAUAUUUAAGUCAGAUGUGAAAUACCCGAGCUUAACUUGGGUGCUGCAUUUGAGACUGGAUAUCUGGAGCGCAGGAGAGGAAAGUGGAAUUCCUAGUGUAGCGGUGAAAUGCGUAGAGAUUAGGAAGAACACCAGUGGCGAAGGCGACUUUCUGGACUGUAACUGACGCUGAGGCUCGAAAGCGUGGGGAGCAAA